rnacentral:tRNA from 1 species
UGGGGGAUUGUGUAACGGUAGCACAGGUGCCUCUGGAGCACCCAGUCUUGGUUCGAAUCCAGGUCCCCCAG